rnacentral:rRNA from 1 species
GUGGGGAAUUUUGGACAAUGGGGGCAACCCUGAUCCAGCCAUGCCGCGUGCGGGAAGAAGGCCUUCGGGUUGUAAACCGCUUUUGUCAGGGAAGAAAUCCUUUGGGUUAAUACCUCGGAGGGAUGACUGUACCUGAAGAAUAAGCACCGGCUAACUACGUGCCAGCAGCCGCGGUAAUACGUAGGGUGCGAGCGUUAAUCGGAAUUACUGGGCGUAAAGCGUGCGCAGGCGGUUUUGUAAGAUCGAUGUGAAAUCCCCGGGCUCAACCUGGGAACUGCGUUGGGGACUGCAAGGCUGGAGUGCGGCAGAGGGGGAUGGAAUUCCGCGUGUAGCAGUGAAAUGCGUAGAUAUGCGGAGGAACACCGAUGGCGAAGGCAAUCCCCUGGGCCUGCACUGACGCUCAUGCACGAAAGCGUGGGGAGCAAACAGGAUUAGAUACCCCAGUAGUCC